UCUUUCAAAACAGCGUUCAAAUGUAGUGGACUCUGCACGUCAUCAGAGCCAUGGUGACUACUGUGUUCUUUCUCUGGUGAUUUGUAGGUCACUUUAGUAUCUAUUGGUUACUGCCGGACUUAAGAAUCAUCAUUCUGAAUGUGUUGUACUGAAAAGAUGCAACAGAUGCGACAUGCUCAUAGGAGGCUGGACUUCAUCGUGUCUUGGUGCUACAAGCCUUGACUUGUCUUGCUGAUUGCUAUACACUCAGAGCCUACAGCAGGGCCUGGCACUUUGUGAUGUUUUAGUAGAUUCAUCUGAAUGCGUAAGAUGCUGCUGGGGAAGGUACAUGUACUCACUCCUUCAGUACCUGGGUGGCAUGCCCCCUCUUCUUUCAACAGAUACUCUGCCUGCCAGGCCAAUCACCAGGUAGAAAGGAAAAGUCAGAUUUGACUUUGCCCAAAAGGAUGGUAAAUUCCUUGUGCCUCAGGGUGUGGAACUUAGGGGUACCAUGAAUGAGACAAGACACCGCCUAACAUCUGAAGUUCUUACCAUACCCAGGGCAGUGAAUUAAAUGUCUGACAUUCACCAAUCAGUAUUACAACAACCCGAUCAAGUAGAUGUCGUCGUUACUUUCAUUCUACAGUUUCGGGCACUGGGGCACAGAGAAGUGACCUGCCCAAAGACACUUAGGGAGUCUGGCUAAAACGGUACCCACUCCAUUGUGCUUCCUCUGUACAGUCAGCAGCACCGGAAGAGAAACCCGCACCUGGUGGAUGCCGAGAGGCCUCCACGGUAGACGUAUGUAAGGGAAAUUUUGCAAGUUAUGGAACUUGAGGCUCAAUAAAAAUAAACUGUUCCUCUUUUCUAUGGGGGGAAAUGAAGAGUUUAUUUAGAAAUAAGUUCCUGAGGCAAGUAGCGAUCCGAGGGGCAUCCAAGCGGCAGCGCGGGCAUGCUCCUCUUGGGAACUGACCGACAUGGAGAGGGAGGACCCAGAUCUGCACUUCUCUCGAUUGCUGUGGCCAGCCGUCCCUUCUUGCCAUGUCCCAUAGCAGGCAUCGUGCCGAGGCCCGGCCGCUGCAGCGCGAGGACAGCGGGACCUUCAGUUUGGGAAAGAUGAUAACAGCUAAGCCUGGGAAAACACCGAUUCAGGUAUGGCAUGAAUACGGCAUGAAGACCAAGAACACUCCAGUGUAUGAAUGUGAACGAUCCAAUGUGCAAGUACACGUGCCCACUUUCACCUUCAGAGUAACCUUUGGUGACAUAACUUGCACAGGUGAAGAUACGAGUAGGAAGCUGGCGAAGCACAGAGCUGCAGAGGCCGCCAUAAACAUUUUGAAAGCCAAUGCAAGUAUUUGCUUUGCAGUUCCUGACCCCUUAAUGCCUGAUCCAUCCAAACAGCCAAAGAACCAGCUGAAUCCAAUUGGCUCAUUACAGGAAUUAGCAAUUCACCAUGGCUGGCGACUUCCUGAAUAUACCCUUUCCCAGGAAGGAGGACCCGCUCAUAAGAGAGAAUAUACCACAAUUUGCAGGCUCGAGUCAUUCAUGGAAACUGGGAAGGGGGCAUCAAAAAAACAAGCCAAGAGAAAUGCUGCUGAGAAAUUUCUCACCAAGUUUAGUAAUAUUUCUCCAGAGAACCACAUUUCUCUAACGAACGUGGUCGGACACUCCCUACGGUGUACUUGGCACUUCUUGAGGAAUUCCCCUGGUGAAAAGAUCAACCUCCUGAAAAGGAGCCUCCUCAGUCUCCCGAACACAGACUACAUCCAGCUGCUUAGUGAGAUUGCCAGCGAGCAAGGCUUUAACAUAACAUAUUUGGAUAUAGGUUAAUUGUGGAUGGAUGGCCAAGCCUCAGUUGGAUGUACCAGAACCCCAGAUUUUGACCCAAAAUCCUGAUAAUAAUGACAGUGAACAUUUGACCUACAACCUCAGUA